rnacentral:rRNA from 1 species
UACGGCGAGUGAGCGGCAACAGCUCAAAUUUGAAAUCUGGCGUCUUUGGCGUCCGAGUUGUAAUUUGCAGAGGGCGCUUUGGCAUUGGCAGCGGUCCAAGUUCCUUGGAACAGGACGUCACAGAGGGUGAGAAUCCCGUACGUGGUCGCUAGCCUUUACCGUGUAAAGCCCCUUCGACGAGUCGAGUUGUUUGGGAAUGCAGCUCUAAAUGGGAGGUAAAUUUCUUCUAAAGCUAAAUACUGGCCAGAGACCGAUAGCGCACAAGUAGAGUGAUCGAAAGAUGAAAAGCACUUUGGAAAGAGAGUUAAAAAGCACGUGAAAUUGUUGAAAGGGAAGCGCUUGCAGCCAGACUUGCCUGUAGUUGCUCAUCCGGGUUUUUACCCGGUGCACUCUUCUAUAGGCAGGCCAGCAUCAGUUUGGGCGGUUGGAUAAAGGUCUCUGUCAUGUACCUCUCUUCGGGGAGAACUUAUAGGGGAGACGACAUGCAACCAGCCUGGACUGAGGUCCGCGCAUCUGCUAGGAUGCUGGCGUAAUGGCUGUAAGCGGCCCGU